AGUACAAUAGACAUUCAGAUGUUCAAUAUGAUCCGAGCUGCCAGUAUUAUAUGGGUUUUAAUGAUAUGUCCUGGAGGUUUUUCUCAGAGUAAUCGUGUUAAACAGAAUCCUCCUGAUCUCUUUGGCAACCAUCAAAACUCUGUUAAAAUCCAGUGUGAGCACAGUGUACCAAGUUAUAAUCAGAUCAACUGGUACAGACAAGACCAGGGACUGACCCUUAUUGGAUAUCAAAUGGGAAAAUCAUCUACACAAAUUGAAAAUGAUUUUAAGGCUAAAGUGGAGAUUGUUGGAAAUGGAAACAAAAACGUCUCUUUGACCAUCAAAAAUCUUUUAUCCAAUGACAGUACAGUGUACUUCUGUGCUGCUUAUUACACAGUGCUGCAUAUCUGCUUUAUUCAGUACAAAAACCUCUGUGUAAAUAUUCUCAGUAUCUCAUUAACACCUGCUCCUGUGGCCUGGAAUUGACACAUUGCCAGUGUUUUUAACAGAAAUGCCACACAUACAUGAUUAUAAGCGAUUAUACUAUAGAUACUUUAUCUAAUCUAAUUUAAGAAUUAAUCUUUUCUUACAGAAAGGCCUUUUGUAGCUAACAAUGUUUAUCAGACUCCUAGCUGUUUUAAUCAAGAAUUUACCCUCUCUAAAAAAAAUAAUACACUGGCUCAACUUUAAAAAAUUAAGGUUACA